AGGCGUUACGGGAUGGCCUCCGCGCCCUGCCCGCCCCGGGCUGUGCGUUGGGUCUGUGGUGAACGCCUGCACCCUGCUGACCCGGCCUCGGUGGGGACUUGUUUAGUUGCGUUUAAUUGUUCUGAAAUUCCGGGAGCUCUCUUUGGCCUCCUGCUCCAGGGACUGUGAGGAAAACCGCGGAUGAACCCAAUAAGUCACGAGUCAGAAGGAAAAUGAGUGUGAAAGCAGCUUUCGGCCAGCUGUGCCUCUCCGCUCUGGCUUGGUGCGGCCGGCCCCGAGCUUCCUGAACCACGGACCUGUCUGCCACAGGAUCCCAGCCCCUCUGGGGUCUGCAGCUAACUUCAGCUUCCAGUAACAGCCCCUCUCGGACAGUUAUGUAAAGCCCCCGUCUGCAUUGUUCCAGCGCUGUUUCCUUUUUCCUCUGAGGCAACCUGCGGUAGGAAGCUGGUGGUCCCUCAGGUAGCCCGCUUCCACUCCAAGUCUCCCUCGCUCCGUGUGAGGCCCGCAGCAACCUGCAGCCGCUGCGCACGGGUCCCUCGCUUCCUGCCUUUGUGGAGCCGGCCAAAGACAACACCGCUGGCUUGGGCCAGCACAGCCCAGCAGCGGGCCCGUCCGUGCUCUGAUUCACUUAUUCCACUCGCAGGUCAAAAGAUUGGCAUCGAUGAGACUAUAAAAUGGACGUGCUUGCUUGGGACAUCCUUCUCUGCCCUUUGAAGUGCACAGAAGUGUUCCCGCAGAUUUUGGUGGGAAUAGCUGCCUCCUUUGUCUGCUGUGCUAGUCGGUGUGUGCCAAUUAGCGUUUCCUACUGAUUGGGAGAGGAAAGGACAAGGGACUGGAGACUGAUUUAUGAAAAUUGUGGAUGUUCAUAGACCAGGACAUUUUACACAGUACGUGCAGUUUGCAGAUUAGUAACUUGACUGACCCUUCUAGCAUCUCAACUGGCUAGAAAUGAGUGGAAAAGAAGGCCAGUUACAAAUGAAGGUCUUGCACUGUAAAACCAACAGUUACUCCUGUGGUAACAAAUAUGGCCUGCGGAGCAGCGGAAGAUAAACUGAAAGCCAGAUGUUGGAAUUAAAUUGCGAGAUGGUUAUUUUGACAGAGUUGAUGACCACCUGGAGUCCAGCAUUAUGUGAGGAUUGGCAUUGGUAACAACCAGAACCCCCCUCGGUCACGUAGGGAAUCACUUUCCCAUUACAGUUUUCCUGCCAGCGAGGUUUGUUUGCUUGGUGACAAGAGAUAAUGGCCAACUCGGUUUGUUACUUGAGUGUUUUAGUGACUGAGGAGUGGAAUCUGGCUUCAUGCUAAAUCCAUUUUCUUAGCUAGUCAAAUGCCAGCUUGGCAGCCUGUCUAUAAGCUGAUAGCACUGAGAGAGGAGUGGCUGUGGGGAUUGCUUUCAGCAGUCUCUGGUAAGUCUGCUUUUAAGACACCUUUUUUCCAUUGGGGAAAAAACACAGUUGCCAUCUGCAGGACUGGAAGGACUGGAUGAGAGAGAGUAGAGAGGCAUGGGCAUUGUCUGAAGCUUGGUGUCACACUUUUCAAGGUGCCUUACAAGCAGUGAUGGGCUUAGCUUUGAGUCAGGCCAGCGUUCAUUCACUAGAGUAGUGACAACCACAGUCGGCAGCAGGGGAAAGCACGGCACAUAGGACCUAGUUCUGCUUUUGUUGGAAGAACAACAACACAAGACGUGAGUUUUUCAGUUACAUGGGGGGGCCCAGUCUUAUUCUGCAAAGGGAAGCAUAGUUAUAGGUGGCACCCAGGUGCCUGGGGAACUCGGAGCAGGGCUGUGUGGUGAUACCCAGGUCUCAAGUUGUGCCCUCGCUGCGUGCGGCUUUUUAAAGUGCUGAGACUCGGCCUUCAGAUCAUAAAAUCGUAGAAUCAUUAAGGUUGGUUGGAAAAGACCUUCUUUGCCAGUGUGAGAGCACUCCCCCAGACAAGGACAACGCACUAGGUUCCAUCCUCGUUUUACUGAUGUCGCAAACAAGUUAUUCUUGUAUGCUGCAGAAAGCCUCACAACCACAAAACCAGCAAUAAUUUUAUAAAUGAUAAGCUUGUUUUCCUCCUCCUCCUCCCAGAUAUUCUGAGUACAGCAGGCAGCAGAGAUGUGCAUUGCUGGAAUCCGGAGAGUUUCAUAACGUGGCAGACGCUUGCUGAAAGCCCUGCAGAUACAAAACAACAUUUAUUUUAAGUCUUGAGAAACAUCUUCUCUUACCAAGUAGAAGAAAAGAACCCAAAACAUUUAGGUGAAGCAAUAUGGCCGGUUCCAUUUGUUUACAAGGCUUGUUUUUUGUCUUUAUACAUUUUAAAUGAUUUUUAUUUGUAUUCUGUUUUUUGAGCCUUUUCCUUUUUUUUUUUUUUCAUACAACAAGAAAGUCUGGAAUUGAGUCCUUUAAAAACAAAACUCUGGUUGAGAGUCCCAUAUAGCCAUGUAACUCCGGACACGGCGGGUUUAAAAAUAUCACUGCUUUCAUGAGAAUUGCCCAUCUUUCAGUGCUAAGUUUAAGUAAGUGCUAUGUUGACAGUUUAAGAUGCUUUUAACAACACCUGUCUGUGUUUGCUUUCCAGGCAGCUCUCUCUCUUCUUUUCUAAACAUUUAGAGCUUGUCUCACCUCUGCAUGUGCCGAUGGGGUCAGAAAUGCAGUGCAUCAGCCUGGCUAACGUGUGUCAAAUAAUUCAUACAAGUGCUUGCAAAAAGUACAGGUGCGUAGAUUUCAUGCCGUUGUCCCCCAGAGCUGCUGAGUGGUACCGGAGGGUACAGAGCCCACCGUCCAGGAAGCACGAGGAGGGUGGUGCUGCUGUCCUGGGAGCAGAAAGCCUCGGUGACUCCCCGGGGGAACCACAAAUGCCUUCAGAGCAUGAUGUUUAACCCAGUCCUUGUUUUUGGAAGGCAGUUGACAGACGAGCAAUUUCUUUUAGUUCGGUUUGCUGAAUGUAACGAUUUAAAAUCUGUUGUGUGACGCGGUGCUGUUCCCGAGUUCCUCAAGAAGGAGACGUCCUUGCUCAGCGUGCAGGUUUGUCUUCCACUGCUGUGUACAUACAAGUGCCUGGAAAUGCCUUAUCCAAGGGACACAGAAACAGCUUUCUGGUCGGCUGCUCUUUCUGUUCUCUCUCUAGCCAUAACGCCCGGUAAAAGCGGAGCCCCUUGCCUGUCUUACUGCUCCGUAAAAGCCCCGCUCUGGGCUGCCAGGCCCAGGCUGGCAUUUCCAGGAGGUUACCGCUCUACUUGUGUGGUUUGAAUCGCUUAAGUCUUUGGCCUGGUGCCUUCGAGUGCCAGCAGAGGCAUGCUGUAAUUGCCCGUAAAUGCACCGUCUGUCAUAUUAUUGUUUAAUUAUUCCAGCUUCUCACUGCCACACACUGCUUAGUGUCUCUCUUGCUAUCUUUAUUUAAUUGAGUGGAAAAAAUCCGAGACUUGCGCUUCGCUUACGUCACUUUGUAUUUACCCAGCAUCACUGGAUCCUACUUUGAAGUCCCAGCUUUUGUACGCAUAAGCCAGCCUUCUAUGCAGAAAAAAGUAAUGUAAAUGUCUAAAACAUAUGUUAGAAACAGAAUCAAUAUUUUAACACAUGGUAAACUCGGGCCAUAAAUCUCUUAACACAGUCAGAUGAUUGUAUUAUUCUCCUUUCAAACUCUGCUCUGCCCCUUGAGAAACAAGAAGGGGAAAGAAAACCCGCGAAUAACCAAGCCCUUGUCCUCACAAUGCAGGAUUGUUCUUAGCCUGUCACUUUGUCUGUGCCACCUCUUCCUUUUCUGGCUACUAGCUCUCUCUUUUCUUCUAUGCCAAACACCUUCAUCUCCAAGAGCCUUCUUUCCCUAGCCCAUCCCGACUGAUGUGUUUUAGCUUAUUACCGGGAUAUCAGCUCUGUCCUGGGAUCAGCCUGUGUUGACCAGUCCCACUGCCCACUUCUUACAGUUUUAAACACCUCUCUGUUUCCUCCAAGCCUGCAACAAAGCCGUUAUUAAUGUGUGUUGAAAUAAAGAAAUCAUCUUGCAGAGAUCUCUCCAACACUCUCCUUGUCCGUAUGGUCUAUAAAAAAACUUGGCAGCAUGUUGAUUGCUUUCCUUUCCUCAUGCUCCCCGUGUCUGCGGCAAAUAAACGCACGUCAUUUUUCUGGUCUUAUUCUCAGUCUUCCGUCUCUGAACCAGAGCAACCUUUUUGUACAGCACCUAGCACACACGAUCGGGAUCAAGCAGCUCUGUGCUCCUACACUAACGGUGUACUCUGUAUAAUGCCUAGCUGCCUGACGGAGCCAGCAUCGUUUCUGGGGCUGUGCUUUUGGCUUCCCAUAACCGAAAUCCAUCCCUGGCUCCAGAAGAACACUCAGUCCCUGCUGACAGUCUGGAAGAGGGAGAGAAAAUAGAUAGCAGAGCUGAAGCUAUUAAGACCAACAGGCACAUAUUUUAUUCCAACUCAAUUUUCCCUUCCCAAAUACCUUUUAAAGAAAAUCUUUCUCUUUGAGAGAACGUGAAUUAAGGUUGGUUUUGUUUGUUUUUUUGAGGGGAGAAGAGGUUGUUGUAGAUUUUUGUUUUGUUUUGUUUUUCUGGGUACUCUCCCGUUCUUGCUGAUCUUCAUCUUCUUCCACAUUUCAGACAGCAGAGCUUUCAGCCCUGACACGAUGUAAUCCCAAGUAAAACUGCUGCUGCCUCUGGCCUUGGUUAACCUGCUGGCAGUGAUACUUGCCUGGGCAUGGGGCAGCUGGCUUUUUACACAGCUCAGCAUGGAUAUGCUGCCACUCCCAGUCACUUUUAGGACACAGCCGAGUUGUUUUUCUUAAGAUUGCUUCUUAAGAAAAACAUGUAAUAAAAUGUUCGACCUUCCCAGGGCCACCACUCCCUGAGACCUUUCCCCUUUCUUGGCUUCUGCGAGAGCUUCUUUCCCUCGGCUUCACACCUUUAUCGGCUGAAAAUGAUAAGAGUCCAGAACUGCUUGGCUCCAGGCUCUCGCUUUGAAGGACAGGCUGCGCUGCCGCACCAUUGUGCCUGUGGGGGACUGGAGGAUCACCGAGGACAAUGGGGAAGUGAAGUCUGCUCCCUCUUUUGUGUGGAGCAGAGGCAGGACUUGGCCUUUUAUGAAGUUCGGCAGAGGAAAACUCGGGCUUUCGCACUCGCAUUCCUGCAUUCCGUGCCCUACCCGUCAGCCUGGUGCUAAUCUUCACGGACCUUUGAAGGCAAGAAACGACACGCAGUGCAAACGAAAGCUCAGCCAGGGUAUUGGUGCCAGCCAGUUUUAGAAGUCAGACGCGGGAGCCAAGUGAAACAGGUACAGUGGCAGGAGAUGCCAUGUACCACCUGCAGGCACGCAGACCUACGGUGCUCGCGCAGCAUCGGAGCCCAACAGCAAAGCGCGGCAUGCGAGGAGCUGGGGAACCCACAGCCACAUCAGGCUCGAAUGCACUUUCCCGGGGAGGAAGUGGCUUUUCCCUUGGAAAGCUCAACUCCCCAGGGUCCCUAUGAGGUCAAUGGAAAAAGUGAUUUCUUCAGAAUGAUUCAGAGUGCCUGAACAGAGGCUUAUCGUUUUGACUAUGGAUGGAGCUUAACCUCUGUAGUUUUAAAUUGGAUUUGUGAGUACCCAUCCCCUCCUGCCCCCUAGUUUUGGGACUUAUGCUGGGGGUUAGUGGUAGGCAGAGUGCCUACCACAGUUCAGGUGCUGCAGACCCACAGCCUUGUCCACUACAGCACAGCGUGCCCUAUUGGAUCCUGCUUUGUCCUUUUGGCUUCUGGUGGGAUGUCAGAAAUGGAUCUGCAAGUAGCAGAAGAAUCAAAUGAAGUCAAGAAAUGUCGGUUUCUUUAUGGAUAGCCUGACUGGAGCUGGAAUAAUCAGCAUCUGUUUCAGUUUAAGCGAGUUUUCAUUCCAGCCUCUCUCCUUUUUCAAAGUACAGACAACCGAAGCCUUUAAUUUGCCGUGUCUUUCACUAGAGAAAAGUAGGAGUUUCUAACAGCCGAUACUAUCCUUUCUAGAAAUCUACACUACAGAAAUACAGUUUAUUGUCUGUUGUGAAUGAAAAAGCUCGUGCUUGUUUCUCUUGUUUGUAGUGUUGACUUUGAAAGAUAAAUUGUUUGAACUGGU